GUUCACUUUUUAAAUUCUGUGUGAAAAAAUAAGAAAGAAGUAUGUUCAAAGCACAUGUGCUGAAUAUGAGAGUACUGUAUAUUUGUCUCCAUGAAAACACUUCUGUGCUUGAGUUAAAAGCCGAGUUAGUAUAUUUUUAUUUUUAUUUUCAUAGAACACUAUUUUUACUUGAAAGAAAGAUGGGCAAACUAUGGUUAUUCAGACAUAUUUGAUAGACAUUUUUUCAAAAAUAAAUAACAUGCAUCUGUCACUUUCAGGAAAACAAGGACAAUUAUUGUUGCCAAUGAUAAUUUUUGAGCUUUCAAGCAAGAAAUAGAAGUUUAGAAAACAUAUAUCUACUACCACAAGUUGGACAGCUUCUCAGUACUUGAGGUCUUUUCUGAUGAGAUCAGUAGGCAUUUACAAAGUCUGUGAUAAGGAUUUGGUCUUUAAACCUUGAGAGAAGAUGAACAUUCGUCAGUUUGAUUAUGUAUAACUGGAUGUACCUUUUCGUUAAAAUCUUUUAGUAAAUGUUUAACAUUUCUUUUAUAAAGGAAUUUGCCUUUGUAUCUUGAGGCCAGUGGGCAAAGUCUACCUUUCCCAAUAUUUUAGGGAACACAAAUACACCCUAGUUGUCUCCCUAGCAGUUGGUCCAAUGCCUUGUGAAUAGAAACUUAGUAAAUGCUCACUCUAUUGAACUAAACCAUGAGAUGCUUAAAUUUGCUUAUUAAAUGUCUUUUUUUUUUUCUUUUAAGAGCUCUUGACUUAUAAAAUACUGGAAUCUGAGUUGGGAUAAAAGAACCAAAUAUAUCAAGUCCUGAUCUUUCAGAGUUUACAUUCUGAGGGAGAUUGAAAAAUUGAAUCUUAAAAAAAAAAAAAAAACUUUACAUAGUGUAAGAAAAAAAGAAAAAGAAAAGGGGAAAAACCUUGAGGAUUAGAAAUAACACUCAAAAAAGAUAAUGUCGCAAUGACUUCAGCAUUGCCAUAUUGUUCAUCUCCUGGCCCACAGGACUUUCCCCAUAUCAAGCUCUCUGCUUUCAUCGUGGAGCCCACUUCAGAUCCUCUAUCCCUGUCUCUCUCUGCCCCUCCCCCGCUCAUCCUCUCUCAAAACUGAAUAAACAUUUAAAUAAAUAAAAUUAUUUUUCUCCAAACUCUUUAAGCUCUAGCCUUCUAGGAUAAAGACAGACUUCUACCUAAUUUCUAUUUGAAUAACCUGUGUAAAACAGGUCAUUGCUUAUCCAAAUAUACUAAAUUGCAGGCUCUAUGUUAGUAAAAAGACCAUUUACAAUAGGCAAAUUCUUUUUUAAUCCCUAUCACUUCAACUUCCAUUGGCUUCCACACUGCUGGCAUACUUCCACUGUGUUUCCAGAAGCCUCAUUAUGAUACCUUGAACAUCUAUUGGUAACUUUGGGGUUUCAUGAUUAUUUUAUAACUGUCAUUAUGAGAUAAAACAUGUGCUAAUACUUGGUAUUUAAAUUUGUAUACCACAAUUUAAGACAAGUUUGUAGUAUGAUAAAUAAUGUCCAGGUCUGUGAUUUUUAUACCAUUGCAAUGACUAAGAUAGAAUUCACCACCUAAUCCAUAAAGGUAAUUUCAGGAACAGAAUAUGUUUAACUUGUUUGAAAAUAGGGAUAUAACUGAAAAACGUUUGGUUUUGUAGCUAUGUAUGAAUACUUGUAAACAAAUAUAAAUUGACUUUUUAGGGCAUAAUAAUCUAGAGACAGAAAUACACAGUCUACUUUAUUAGUACUCUUUUCUUUAUUGUGUAAAUAACCUCUAAGUUUUGCAUUUGUCCUAGUGUAGAAUGUAUUGGAAUGGAGGGGAAAGAGGAGUUUGCAGGAUACUCCCUAAGAGUUUGUGAUUCUAAAAUGAUUUAAACAAAUUCUAAUGUUCUGCUUGUGCUGCCUGUACAAACCAUCCUUUUUGCUAGGAAUUUUGUACUAAAUGAUGAUAGAAGUAAAGAAUUAAUGAAUGCCCUCUUUCUCCUAGUGGAGGGAAUGGUUUGAAGCUGUGUUAUCAGUUGUUUUCAGCGCAAGGUUCCUUUCUUUUUCAGGCAGCAGUACAUAGUGGAACAGGCACCCUUUGGAAAGGGAAAUUACUUUAACCUCUUUUUAUCAGUCACCUCCAGCAAGUGACCUCACCUGUAACUUAGGGAUCCUAAAUAACAUCCACCCUACCAAUUUUAUAGAGUAAAUGAGAUCAAGUUAGAAAGAGUACUUGAAAAAGAUUUGCAAUCUAUAAAAUGUUCUGCAAAUGAAAAAAGCUAUUAUGAUUAUGAUUACUAUAACUGUACUAUCAUUAGUAUUAUUUUCUUCAUUGCUAUUACUAUUUAUAAUAGAAGCCCAGAAGGAUCCUUCUUGUCCAAUUACCUGGUCAAUGCUCAGUUCAUCUCAACAAAGUUUUGUGUGACAAGGAGCUCAUUAAUUCCACAGACAGUUCAGUCCUAGGAUUUUUACAAGAUGGAGAAUCUGAGCUAAAACAUACUUAUCAGAAACUUCACAAAAAGAGGAAGAAAUAAUAUAGGAGAUAUAGGUAUGUGUUCCAUGAGAUUCCAAAGCAGUUAAGAUGUGAAACAGCCAUCAGAAGGCCUUGGAACAGAAGAGAAGGGGCAGAUAUGGGGAAGGAAGGGACUUGUUGGGUGAACCUUUGCUUGAGCCUGUAAAAAAGAUCAGAAUUUCUCCAUUCUGGGCCCAGACACUGACAGGAUUAAGCCUCUGUUAACCUGACCUGGAGUGGACAUGGGGGGUCAGGCUUAGUGGGCUUAGAGGACCUCUAUAAUAACAACAUAUUCAGCUACUUCUCAAUACUCAGAACAUACUAAAACAUGAGGAAGUGCCUUGAAUUCCACACAAAGAGAUUAUAGGCUUAAAAUGCAAAAACCACUGUGGUAACUUAUGUCCAUGAGUCUCAACACCUGAUUGCUAAGAAGGCUUCAGGAAAGGGUGAGUUGAGAGGGCAAAAGACAAAUCUCCCUGUUUUGAGAGUGCAUGGUGGAAGGGACCAUAGAAGUUGCAUAGACCCUCUGCUGUGUCUCUGCAAACACAGGCUGCUCUGUGUCACGUGAUUCAGGAAGUUGUUAUUGAAUGUGGCCAAUUUCAUAUAAAGCAGUUUGUACUGGGACAGAGUGGGGAUGUGGGGGAUUCCUAGUGGACUGUCCAUUAGGACAAGGAUAGUAAACUGAGUUAUCUCUCAAAUUACCUAGGUGUGUGUGGUGCUAGCUGGUUCACCAUAGUGGUACCAAUCCCAUAGAGGAAUGGCUUUAGAAUUAUUUGACUUGGGUGGAGUCCACAGUUCUAGGCAAGUCACUUAACUUCUCCGUGGAAUAUGGUGAUUGAAUUAGAAGAAUUCUUCCCCCUCUAGAUAGCGUGACUGUCUGUUGAACCACCUCCGUUCAACAAACCUGUAGAUGAUCCCAGAAACGAUAAUGAACAAUCUGUUUAGUGCACAGUGAAAUUAGGUCAAGAUAGCAGCCCAUUAAGGACUUAGUAAUGUUACAUCAAAACUGAGGGCUGAAUGUUUUAAUCAAGAAAGAGAAAGGUGUCUUCAUUCAUUGUGCUCUCUUGUUCUCAGAUGGAAGCAGUCAUUGUUCAGAGGAAUGAAUGUUUAUCCUUGCCACCCGUUAGGUCGCCUGCUGCCAGGAGUGAUCAGCUCUCUCUGCAGAUUUUUACUCCAGGUGAAAUACAUAUUUCAAGUUACCUUGAUGAUUUACAUGGCAGCCUAUAGGAAGCAGUCAGAAAAAGUGUCAGGGACUCCUGGCUGGAAUACAUUCAAAGAGUUUUCUAAUUACUUAUUAUUGAUGCAACCCUACCAUGUCAGCUCUUCACUUUGUGAUUGAUUUUUUUCUUUUUAAACUAAUGUAUGAAUCCCCAAAGGAAAAAUGAACAGCAAAAUAUUGUGCUGAACUAAACUUACGUCCAAGGAAAGAGGCUUUGGAAAAACAAUUGGCUUGGUCAGAAGCUAGGACCCUAAAAAAUGGGCUAGAGGCCUGAGGGGGAGGUACAGAAUCUGCUGAUAAAAUGCUGAUAUUUCAAAACAUUUCCCAGCCUGGACCCUUAAGCGUAUCGUAUGUAGUCUCUAUUGAGUUGACAAACUACAGCCCACAGGCCAAAUCUGGCCCUCUGUUUCCUAAAUAAAGUUUUAUUUGGGGCACAGUCAUGUUCAAUGUAUUGUCUGUGGUUGUUCUCACCCUGGAACAAAGGAAUUGAACGGCUGCAACAAAAACCAGAUGACCUGCAAAGCCUAAAAUAUUUACUAUUGUUUCCUUUGCAGAAAAAGUUUCCUGACUCCUGGUAUAUUUGUUUUUUUGAAAUGAUUUUUUUUUAAAGUUUAUUUAUUUUGGGGCAGAGAGAGAACCCCAAGCACGUUCUGUGCUGAUAGCAUGGAGCCCAAUGUGGGACUCAAACCCACCAACUAUGAAAUCAUGACCAGGGCUGAAACCCAAAGACAGAUGCUUAACCGUCUGAGCCAUCCAAGCACCCUUCCCAAUAAGUAACUUACAUCAGUAGGCACCCAGUUUGUGCACAUUGUAAGCAUAUAAUAAAUUAGAAAGGGUGACAAAGUUUGAAGCCCAGUUUUUAUUCUCAAGGAACUUAAAAUCUAGUUGAGGAGAUGAAGAUAAGCAUACAUGGAAAAAUGGUGAAAAAUAAAACAUAAUAUAUAAUCAAGGGUUAAAUUUAAUGUGUGGACAAGCACCAGACUUUAGAGAAAGGGAAGGAGGGUGUGUGAGUCCUCUAGUAGUUGGAGCAAGCAGUAUUUAAUAUAAUAAAGUUCCAGGAUACCAUAAGAGCUUGAAUGCUCCCUUGAGGUCCACUGUAAUUGGGUUUGACCUGUAUUUCUACUCUAGUGUCAUUUAAAUCACUGAUAUUUUUGGCCCUGUGCUUAGGGGAUACCUUAAUGACCAAAAGUAUUUCUGAGUAACUUUAACUGAUUGAUUUUUCUGGGAUUUGGGAUUCCUUCAAUAUCCCUAAACUAUAGAGAAUUUAAUUCAGUCAUAGUGGCAUAAUGUCUUUCUUUUUGGAAAAAAUAUAGUGUAAUGAUUAAGAACAUGAGCUUUAGAGUCAAAGAGACCCAGGUCUAAAUCUUGGCCUCAUCUUCUCCUAGCUAUAUAAUCUUGGGGGUUCUGUUAAACUCUGGACCUCAGUUUCUUCAUCUACAAAUUAAGAACAAUAAUAAUGCCUACCUCUUCAGGCCGUCAUGAGAACUAAAUCAUAUAAUGCAUGCGAAGUGCUUAGAAUAUAAAGCGCUUGGUACAAAGAUGGGGCUUGAUCAAUGUUUAGUCAUUGGCCAUUACGUUCUUAAAAAUUUUUUGACAUUUAUUUACUUUCUGAGAGACAGAGAAAGCGUGAGUUGGGGAGGGGUAGAGAGAAAAGGAGACACGGAAUCCAAAGCAGGCUCCAGGCUCCGAGCUGUCAGCACAGAGCCUGACGCGAGUCUCGAACUCACAAACCGUGAGAUCAUGACCCAAGCCGAAGUCAGACCGACUGAGCCACCCAGGUGCCCCUUCUCCCCCUUUUUAGUUUGUUGAUGGUUGUGAUUCUUAAUUUUUAUCAUUGUCACCAUUGCCAGUCUCCUAAUUUAUUUCUAUAAUGUCCUUGGGAACUUGGGGACAGGGAGCACUAUAUAAAAAAUGCAAAUACAGAUCUACACUUUGAUGUACUGGCAGGAACCUGGAGCUCUUUCAGGCUCUAUAUUGACUGUCUUUGGAGGAGAGGUAAGUUGACAGUUGUACUAGCCUUGUGGAUUGAGGAUCAGCAUCCAUAGGUUUUCACCUAUUUCUGUGAUGAUAGGAGAAAUCAUGUAGAAACAAGACCAGUUUUUCUUGUCUGUAAUGGGGGGUAAUAACACUUAUUUUUGUAACUGUUCUGAGUAUUCCUGAAAGAGCUCUUUGAAACACUUUAAGUAUUUUGAUGUAGUCAUAAAAUAUAAGGCUUUAAAAUCAGGAUUUGAGUGUCCAAAGAAGGCUCUCCUUCCUCUGUGGAUAAAACCCAAUGAUAGCAUUGCUUUUUGUUUCCCUUGAGGUAAUUUGAAGAUUAAAGGACAGGGUGUUUUCUACAUUGCCUGUUGGUAAUAAACGGCCUUCUGCAGGGCUUUGACCUUCACUGCUGUUUUGGAGACUCCUAGGAGCAGUGGCCAUGACUCUAGCCAGCCUUGCUCAUUUUAUUACAGGGUUGUUCCUCUGAGGGCCUUUAAUGUUAAUACAUUUUCAAAGAACAGCAAACACUGAAUCCAUUGUUUGGUUUUAGUUGCUUUUGUUAAGAAUUAUAUGGGCUUUAUAAGAAAAUGAGAAAAUGUCAGGAAAACAAGCAUGUUUAUUUAACCCAAAUAAACCAUGAUUAGUCUAAACAGGGAGAAUUAUUGUAAUAAGUAGGGCAGCUUCUGUCUCUCUCCUUCCCUGUGAAGUAGAUAGGAAGUAUUGGUGUAUUCAUUUGUCAGAUAUCCUUUACAUUUAAUCAUUUAUUCAUUCAGUGAACAUUUGGUAAGCUCUUAUGAUGGAACUGGCACCGGACUGGGAGCUGAGAAUACUACAGUGAGCAAGACAGGCAUGCCAUGCUCUCCUAGAGUUUAGUCUAAUUGGGAAGAUGGACACAUAAACAGCUAAUGACAAUCAAGUGGUCGGUGCUAUGUAAAAGGUUUGGGAUGCCAUGGGAGCACAUGCUGGAGGCUCAAGAAAGGCUUCAGUUUCUUUAAAUGAAUUGCCAAGUAUAACAAAAUGAAGGUGUUGUAUAUCUCUUUAGGCUCAGACCAGGGUGGAGUGGCCCUAAGAUUGAGAGACUGGGCCCUGGUCAUUCUUACACUAUGAGUUUUCUUGGGUGGUUUGAGCUUUUUGGUCUUAGAGAAGCCCUAGAGACUUGUCUGAGUGGGGCCGUAGACAUCAUCCUAAAGCCACCUUGAUACCCUCUGGUCUUGGAGGACAGCCGACUAACUAAGACCCUCCCAAAGGCAAUCCUUUCCUCCUUAGGGACUACCAAGUCUUAGUCCAGGUAUUCAUCUGUAUGAAUAGUAUGUACUCGAACUACCAACAGUUUUCACCUGAUCAGCCCUCCCUUAUUCUCCUUGGGGUCUCCCUUCCCAAGGGGGCAGACUGGAUUCUCUACUUCUUCACACUUGUCACCCUGAGGCAGGGCAGAGGAGACCUUGUCAGCUAUGAAAGGGCUAGUUUACUAAUCAGUAGACUCUUCUGUACUCUGUCCCUUUCCCCAGUGCUAAGUGAUCAUCUUUAAGUAGGGCUAGCAAGGCAUACUCAUUGGGUUACAUUUAUUCCUUCUUAUUCUUCCUAGGGAGCUAUACAGCUUUUGUUCCUUCACUGCAUUUCAUGAAGUAAGCUAUAGUGUUGGCUUGUCAUAGCCCCAAUUUCUCUUCAAUGGGGCUAAAAACUACAAGAGAAGGCUGACUAGGAGUCCACAUAUGGAGAUAUCAGGAGCCCCCUCUUUGCUCAUACCUGAGGUUAAGGAUAGAUGAGGGACAGGGAUAAUUCCUAGGCAUUCAAACUUGAAUUGUCACCAAGAUAAGUAGUUUUAGCCUCUUCUUUGUGUAGAAGAAAGCUAAGCUAGAGGAAUGGCUUUUGUGAGGUUACAUCAGUUUAAUUUUUUUUUAACGUUUAUUCAUUUCUGAGAGACAGAGAGGGAGGAAGACACAGAAUUCAAAGCAGGCUCCAGGCUCUGACCUUUCAGCACAGAGCCCAAUGGGGGGCUGGAACUCAUGGACUGCAGGAUCAUGAUCUGAGCUGAAGUUGGAUGCUUAACUGAGCCACCCAGAUGCCCCAAGGUUACAUCACUUUAGAGAGAGCCUAGAGAAGAAGUUCUCAAGCCUUGGUGGAAGGCAUUUAAAAAGAAGUACCAAUGGCCAGGGCUCACCCAGACUAGUUCAUCAAACUCUCAGAUUGGGCCUUGGUAAAUCUCCUUAAAGUAAGUCUAACUGCAGCCAGGUUGGAAAGUCCCUGGACAGCAUGGCCAAAGACAUGGCAGCCUGUAUGC